AAAAAAUAGGGGUUGUAGGGGAUGGAAUCCCCUGCCGCCUUCAGGAAGGUGCUCAGACAGCUUUGCUGUCGUCGAAGGAAAC
rfam:Geosporobacter ferrireducens strain IRF9, complete genome.